rnacentral:snRNA from 1 species
AUCGCUUCUCGGCCUUUUGGCUAAGAUCAAGUGUAGGAUCCUCAAGGAGUUCAGAAGUGGAAACUGUAACUCAAUAACAAUAAUAAUAAUAAUAACUGUUAUAAACAAGUUGAUUUUGCCUUUUUUCUCUCAUAAUUUUAUCCUCAGUGCUCGGAGUGCCUGACAUCCUAAAAUUUAUCAGUAAAUAUU